GUCGAACGAGAACGGGUAUUAGUUUACUAAUACUGUCAGCUAAGUGGCGCACCGGGUGAGUAAUAUAUAGUUAAUCUGCCCCAAAGAAGAGAAUAAUUGUUGGAAACGACUUGUAAUGCUCUAUAUGCCUUUAUCACAUAAGUGAGCAAGGGAAAUAUUUAUAGCUUUGGGAUGAGACUGUACGGUAUCAGAUAGUUGGUGAGGUAAUGGCUCACCAAGUCUAUGACGCCUAACUGGUUUGAGAGGAUGAUCAGUCACACUGGAACUGAGACACGGUCCAGACUCCUACGGGAGGCAGCAGUGGGGAAUAUUGCACAAUGGAGGAAACUCUGAUGCAGCAACGCCGCGUGGAGGAUGACACAUUUCGGUGCGUAAACUCCUUUUAUUAGGGAAGAUAAUGACNGUACCUAAUGAAUAAGCACCGGCUAACUCCGUGCCAGCAGCCGCGGUAAUACGGGGGGUGCAAGCGUUACUCGGAAUCACUGGGCGUAAAGAGCAUGUAGGCUGGUUUGUAAGUUGGAAGUGAAAUCCUAUGGCUUAACCAUAGAACUGCUUCCAAAACUGCAGACCUAGAGUAUGGGAGAGGUAGAUGGAAUUUCUGGUGUAGGGGUAAAAUCCGUAGAGAUCAGAAGGAAUACCGAUUGCGAAGGCGAUCUACUGGAACAUUACUGACGCUGAGAUGCGAAAGCGUGGGGAGCAAACAGGAUUAGAUACCCUGGUAGUCCACGCCCUAAACGAUGCACACUAGUUGUUGCUAUGCUAGACAUAGCAGUAAUGCAGUUACCACAGUAAGUGUGCCGCCUGGGGAGUACGGUCGCAAGAUUAAAACUCAAAGGAAUAGACGGGGACCCGCACAAGCGGUGGAGCAUGUGGUUUAAUUCGACGAUACGCGAAGAACCUUACCUGGCCUUGACAUAGAGAGAACUUACUAGAGAUAGUUUGGUGCUAGUUUACUAGAACUCUUAUACAGGUGCUGCACGGCUGUCGUCAGCUCG
rnacentral:rRNA from 1 species